rnacentral:rRNA from 1 species
UACGUAGGGGGCAAGCGUUGUCCGGAAUCAUUGGGCGUAAAGCGCGUGUAGGCGGCCCGGUAAGUCAGCUGUGAAAGUCAAGGGCUCAACCCUUGAAUGCCGGUUGAUACUGUCGGGCUAGAGUCCGGAAGAGGCGAGUGGAAUUCCCGGUGUAGCGGUGAAAUGCGCAGAUAUCGGGAGGAACACCAAUGGCGAAGGCAGCUCGCUGGGACGGUACUGACGCUGAGACGCGAAAGCGUGGGGAGCAAACAGGG